rnacentral:rRNA from 1 species
AGAGUUUGAUCCUGGCUCAGGAUGAACGCUGGCGGCAUGCCUAAUACAUGCAAGUCGAACGAGAGGAAGGAAAGCUUGCUUUUCUGAAUCUAGUGGCGAACGGGUGAGUAACACGUAGGUAACCUGCCCAUGUGCCCGGGAUAACUUCUGGAAACGGAUGCUAAAACCGGAUAGGUAGCAGACAAGCAUUUGACUGCUAUUAAAGUGGCUAAGGCCAUGAACAUGGAUGGACCUGCGGUGCAUUAGCUAGUUGGUGAGGUAACGGCCCACCAAGGCGACGAUGCAUAGCCGGCCUGAGAGGGCGGACGGCCACAUUGGGACUGAGACACGGCCCAAACUCCUACGGGAGGCAGCAGUAGGGAAUUUUCGUCAAUGGGGGGAACCCUGAACGAGCAAUGCCGCGUGAGUGAGGAAGGUCUUCGGAUCGUAAAGCUCUGUUGUAAGAGAAAAACGACAUUCAUAGGGAAUGAUGAGUGAGUGAUGGUAUCUUACCAGAAAGUCACGGCUAACUACGUGCCAGCAGCCGCGGUAAUACGUAGGUGGCGAGCGUUAUCCGGAAUGAUUGGGCGUAAAGGGUGCGUAGGUGGCAGAACAAGUCUGGAGUAAAAGGUAUGGGCUCAACCCGUACUGGCUCUGGAAACUGUUCAGCUAGAGAACAGAAGAGGACGGCGGAACUCCAUGUGUAGCGGUAAAAUGCGUAGAUAUAUGGAAGAACACCGGUGGCGAAGGCGGCCGUCUGGUCUGUUGCUGACACUGAAGCACGAAAGCGUGGGGAGCAAAUAGGAUUAGAUACCCUAGUAGUCCACGCCGUAAACGAUGAGAACUAGGUGUUGGGGGAAUAACUCAGUGCCGCAGUUAACGCAAUAAGUUCUCCGCCUGGGGAGUAUGCACGCAAGUGUGAAACUCAAAGGAAUUGACGGGGGCCCGCACAAGCGGUGGAGUAUGUGGUUUAAUUCGACGCAACGCGAAGAACCUUACCAAGACUUGACAUUGAUUGAAAGACUUAGAGAUAAGUCCCUUCUCUUCGGAGAACAAGAAAACAGGUGGUGCAUGGCUGUCGUCAGCUCGUGUCGUGAGAUGUUGGGUUAAGUCCC